GAUGAACGCUGGCGGCGUGCCUAAUACAUGCAAGUCGAGCGAACAGACGAGGAGCUUACUCCUCUGACGUUAGCGGCGGACGGGUGAGUAACACGUGGAUAACCUACCUAUAAGACUGGGAUAACUUCGGGAAACCGGAGCUAAUACCGGAUAACAUGUUGAACCGCAUGGUUCAACAGUGAAAGACGGUCUUGCUGUCACUUAUAGAUGGAUCCGCGUCGCAUUAGCUAGUUGGUAAGGUAACGGCUUACCAAGGCAACGAUGCGUAGCCGACCUGAGAGGGUGAUCGGCCACACUGGAACUGAGGCACGGUCCAGACUCCUACGGGAGGCAGCAGUAGGGAAUCUUCCGCAAUGGGCGAAAGCCUGACGGAGCAACGCCGCGUGAGUGAAGAAGGUCUUCGGAUCGUAAAACUCUGUUAUUAGGGAAGAACAAAUGUGUAAGUAACUAUGCACGUCUUGACGGUACCUAAUCAGAAAGCCACGGCUAACUACGUG
rnacentral:rRNA from 1 species